CGCCUCGUAGCUUCGUCGGAAGAGCGUUAGAUUAUAAAUCAAAAGGUCCCUGGUACGAUCCCGGGUUUCGUCA
rnacentral:tRNA from 1 species